rnacentral:rRNA from 1 species
UAGGGAAUAUUGCACAAUGGGCGAAAGCCUGAUGCAGCAAUGCCGCGUGUGUGAAGAAGGCCUGAGGGUUGUAAAGCACUUUCAAUAGUGAAGAAAAGCAUAAGGUUAAUAACCUUAUGUGUUGACGUUAACUAUACAAGAAGCACCGGCUAACUCCGUGCCAGCAGCCGCGGUAAUACGGAGGGUGCAAGCGUUAAUCGGAAUUACUGGGCGUAAAGCGCGCGUAGGCGGUUUAGUAAGUCGGAUGUGAAAGCCCAGGGCUUAACCCUGGAAUUGCAUUCGAUACUGCUUGACUAGAGUAUGGUAGAGGGAAGUGGAAUUUCAAGUGUAGCGGUGAAAUGCGUAGAUAUUUGAAGGAACACCAGUGGCGAAGGCGACUUCCUGGACCAAUACUGACGCUAAGGUGCGAAAGCGUGGGGAGCGAACAGG